UACGGAGGGUGCAAGCGUUGUCCGGAUUUAUUGGGUUUAAAGGGUGCGUAGGCGGCCCAUUAAGUCAGCGGUGAAAGCCCGGGGCUCAACCCCGGAACCGCCGUUGAUACUGGUGGGCUUGAGUAUGGACGAGGUUGGCGGAAUUGAGGGUGUAGCGGUGAAAUGCUUAGAUACCCUCAAGAACACCGAUUGCGUAGGCAGCUAACUAGGCCAUAACUGACGCUGAGGCACGAAAGCGUGGGGAGCGAAC
rnacentral:rRNA from 1 species